AACUUUCAACAACGGAUCUCUUGGCUCUGGCAUCGAUGAAGAACGCAGCGAAAUGCGAUACGUAAUGUGAAUUGCAGAAUUCAGCGAACCAUCGAAUCUUUGAACGCACAUUGCGCCCGCCAGUAUUCUGGCGGGCAUGCCUGUCCGAGCGUCAU
rnacentral:rRNA from 1 species